rfam:Felis catus isolate Cinnamon breed Abyssinian chromosome D2, whole genome shotgun sequence.
ACCUGGGUGGCUCAGUUGGUUGAGCGUCUGACUUUGGCUCAGGUCAUAAUCCCACAGUUUGUGGGUUCAAGCCCCACAUCAGGCU